GAUGAACGCUGGCGGCGUGCCUAAUACAUGCAAGUCGAGCGAACAGACGAGGAGCUUGCUCCUCUGACGUUAGCGGCGGACGGGUGAGUAACACGUGGAUAACCUACCUAUAAGACUGGGAUAACUUCGGGAAACCGGAGCUAAUACCGGAUAAUAUUUUGAACCGCAUGGUUCAAUAGUGAAAGACGGUUUUGCUGUCACUUAUAGAUGGAUCCGCGCCGCAUUAGCUAGUUGGUAAGGUAACGGCUUACCAAGGCAACGAUGCGUAGCCGACCUGAGAGGGUGAUCGGCCACACUGGAACUGAGACACGGUCCAGACUCCUACGGGAGGCAGCAGUAGGGAAUCUUCCGCAAUGGGCGAAAGCCCGACGGAGCAACGCCGCGUGAGUGAUGAAGGUCUUCGGAUCGUAAAACUCUGUUAUUAGGGAAGAACAAAUGUGUAAGUAACUAUGCACGUCUUGACGGUACCUAAUCAGAAAGCCACGGCUAACUACGUG
rnacentral:rRNA from 1 species